AUUGAACGCUGGCGGCAGGCCUAACACAUGCAAGUCGAGCGAGCGGCGGCCGGGUGAGUAAUGUCUGGGAAACUGCCUGAUGGAGGGGGAUAACUACUGGAAACGGUAGCUAAUACCGCAUAACAUCAGAUGUGCCCAGAGGGGAUUAGCUAGUAGGUGGGGUAACGGCUCACCUAGGCGACGAUCCCUAGCUGGUCUGAGAGGAUGACCAGACAAACUGGAACGGAGACACGGUGCAGACUCCUACGGGAGGAAGCAGUGGGGAAUAUUGCAAAAUGGGCGAAAGCCUGAUGCAGCCAUGCCGCGUGUGUGAAGAAGGCCUUCGGGUUGUAAAGCACUUUCAGCGGGGAGGCGUUACCCGCAGAAGAAGCACCGGCUAACUCCGUGCCAGCAGCCGCGGUAAUUC
rnacentral:rRNA from 1 species